UGGAGUUUAAGUUCUCCUUUCAAUGAGAGUCUGAACUGUUUUCAUGCACUCACACUGAAAACUGCAUCAAGAUGAUGUUGAUAGCAACUCUGACACUCGUGUUGGGUUUUCUAAUGCAAGAUUCCUUGGCCAAUAAAUUUCUUACUCAGGCUGAUAAAUCCAAACCUGUCAGUCUUGGUGGGACUGUGACCAUCAGCGCCACAGGAAGUUCAGAUAUUGGUGCUGAUCUCAGUUGGUACCUUCAGAAACCUGGACAGCCUCCCAAACUUCUUAUAUAUCAAGCAUCAACUCGCUCCUCAGGAACUCCGUCUCGAUUCAGUGGCAGUAGAUCUGGUUCUCAGUACACUUUAACCAUCAGUGGGUUUCAGGCUGAAGAUGCUGGAGAUUAUUACUGUAUGGGUGUGCAUACUGGUGGAGUAUGCGCACAGUGAUUUAGAGCUGCACAAAAACCUCCUUCAGUCUGAGUGAAGGCUGCAGGUGCAGAGUGCAGUGAAGAGACUGUGAUGAGAAUAACCAGUCCACUGAACACAACAAUAGAGUCAUCAAACACAUACACAAACUAAAAGUUUAUAAUAAGAAGUUUUAACAUAAAAAUGUAUAUCAUUUAAUUUUAUCUUUUCUAAAACAUGGCUGCUGCGAUGGAUGCAUUGAUAGAAAAAAAUAUUACAUCCCCAUAAUUUUCAGAUCAACAAUGG